rnacentral:rRNA from 1 species
UAGUAACUGCGAGUGAAGCGGGAAGAGCUCAAAUUUAAAAUCUGGCGGUCUCUGGCCGUCCGAGUUGUAAUCUAGAGAAGUGCUACCCGCGCUGGACCGUGUACAAGUCUCCUGGAAUGGAGCGUCAUAGAGGGUGAGAAUCCCGUCUCUGACACGGACUACCAGGGCUUUGUGGUACGCUCUCAAAGAGUCGAGUUGUUUGGGAAUGCAGCUCAAAAUGGGUGGUAAAUUCCAUCUAAAGCUAAAUAUUGGCGAGAGACCGAUAGCGAACAAGUACCGUGAGGGAAAGAUGAAAAGAACUUUGGAAAGAGAGUUAAACAGUACGUGAAAUUGCUGAAAGGGAAACGCUUGAAGUCAGUCGCGUUGGCCCGGGGAUCAGCCUCGCUUUUGCGUGGUGUACUUUCUGGUUGACGGGUCAGCAUCAAUUUUGACCGCUGGAAAAAGGGCUUGGGGAAUGUGGCAACUUCGGUUGUGUUAUAGCCCCUUGUCACAUACAGCGGUUGGGAUUGAGGAACUCAGCACGCCGCAAGGCCGGGUUUCGACCACGUUCGUGCUUAGGAUGCUGGCAUAAUGGCUUUAAGCGACCCGUCUUGAAACACGGACCAAGGAGUCUAACAUGCCUGCGAGUGUUUGGGUGGAAAACCCGAGCGCGUAAUGAAAGUGAAAGUUGAGAUCCCUGUCGUGGGGAGCAUCGACGCCCGGACCAGAACUUUUGGGACGGAUCCGCGGUAGAGCAUGUAUGUUGGGACCCGAAAGAUGGUGAACUAUGCCUGAAUAGGGUGAAGCCAGAGGAAACUCUGGUGGAGGCUCGUUGCGAUUCUGACGUGCAAAUCGAUCGUCAAAUUUGGGUAUAGGGCGAAA